GGUAUCACUCCGCCAGAAAAGUAGAGACCUGUUUAUGUGUUUCGUGUUUCCAAAACAGAGCAUGGAUCCAGAGCCAUACUGAAGCCGGCAUUGAUGAGCGGCACUGUACAGAGCGCCAGGAAGCAGAAAACCUUGAGAAAUUGUAUCCUUCACAGGGGCGUCAUCAAGGCACCAACCCCAGCCACGACUGCAACAGGGAAAUAGAAUAGCAGCAGAGCAAACAGGGAGUACCCCGCCUUCUGCUCGAAUGCAGCUGAGAUAGGCUUCAGACUCCUAUCGCCCCCCCCAUGACCCCAAAAGGGACAAGCAGUAGAAAAUGGAUGGAUGGAUGUCACUUGGCAAGUUUCACUGCAAUAAGGUGCUGUUGGUAGCCAUCUACAAGCUUCUGGCAAUUUUCUGGUUGAAUUUUCGACCUCUCCUCCUGACAAAAUUGGUACAGUUCAGCUACAUUUUUUGUUUUUUCUGACAUGGACUUGUUUCUUCAGCAUUGUCCACACGUUUAAGUCAGGACUAUGGAAAGGCCAUUCUAAAACCUUAAUUGUAGCCUGAUUUAGCCAUUCCUUUACCACUUUUGACGUGUGUUCGGGGUCAUUGUCCUGUUGGAACACCCAACUGCGCCCAAGACCCAACCUCCGGCCUGAUGAUUUUAGGUUGUCCUGAAGAAUUUGGAGGUAAUCCUCCUUUUUCAUUGUCCCAUUUAAAAUACUAGUUCCAAUGGCAGCAACACAGGCCUA